UACGUAGGGUGCAAGCGUUAAUCGGAAUUACUGGGCGUAAAGCGAGCGCAGGCGGUUACGCAAGACAGAUGUGAAAUCCCCGGGCUUAACCUGGGAACUGCAUUUGUGACUGCAUGGCUAGAGUGUGUCAGAGGGGGGUGGAAUUCCACGUGUAGCAGUGAAAUGCGUAGAUAUGUGGAGGAACACCGAUGGCGAAGGCAGCCCCCUGGGAUAACACUGACGCUCAUGCUCGAAAGCGUGGGGAGCAAACAGG
rnacentral:misc_RNA from 1 species